GCAGGUGGGUUGAAGUUAGGCUUGUAUGUGUGUGUGUUCUAUUUUCAUUCAGUUUAUAUCCUGAAAGCUAGUAGCUAAGUUGACGUUUGGAUGAUUUGAGUUUUGACAGUUGAUUAGAAUAAAAAGGCGGACUCACCAUGAAUAUGGGAACUGCGACGCCAAGUUCCAAUAUGAGCGGUAUGACGAAAAACAUGAAAAAUAUGUCUGGCAUGGAUAUGGCUGGUGGUAUGAAUAUGGACGGUGGUAUGAAUAUGGACGGUGAUAUGAAUAUGGACGGUAUGAAAAUGGCCUUCCAUACAGGUGCCAAAGAAACCAUUUUAUUUACUGAUAUAAAGACAGAAAAUGUAGCAGGU
rnacentral:lncRNA from 1 species